GAUGAACGCUGGCGGCGUGCCUAAUACAUGCAAGUCGAGCGAACGGACGAGAAGCUUGCGCCUCUGAUGUUAGCGGCGGACGGGUGAGUAACACGUGGAUAACCUACCUAUAAUACUGGGAUAACUUCGGGAAACCGUAGCUAAUACCGGAUAAUAUUUUGAACCGCAUGGUUCAAGAGUGAAAGACGGUUUUGCUGUCACUUAUAGAUGGAGCCGCGCUGCAUUAGCUAGUUGGUAAGGUAACGGCUUACCAAGGCAACGAUGCAUAGCCGACCUGAGAGGGUGAUCGGCCACACUGGAACUGAGACACGGUCCAGACUCCUACGGGAGGCAGCAGUAGGGAAUCUUCCGCAAUGGGCGAAAGCCUGACGGAGCCACGCCGCGUGAGUGAUGAAGGUCUUCGGAUCGUAAAACUCUGUUAUUAGGGAAGAACAAAUGUGUAAGUAACUCUGCACGUCUUGACGGUACCUAAUCAGAAAGCCACGGCUAACUACGUG
rnacentral:rRNA from 1 species